GCGGUCGUGGCGGAAUUGGUAGACGCGCAGCGUUGAGGUCGCUGUGGCCGAAAGGUCGUGGAAGUUCGAGUCUUCUCGACCGCACCA
rnacentral:tRNA from 3 species